CGCACGGGUGAGUAACACGUGGGUAAUCUACCCUUCGCGGGGGACAACAACUGGAAACGGUUGCUAAUACCGCAUACGACUGGAGACUCCUCUACGGGGGCGUUUUCAGAGAAAGGCUUCGGCCACCGAAGGAUGAGCCCGCGUCCCAUCAGCUUGUUGGUGAGGUAAUGGCUCACCAAGGCUAAGACGGGUAGCUGGUCUGAGAGGAUGAUCAGCCACACUGGGACUGAGACACGGCCCAG
rnacentral:rRNA from 1 species